AGUGAUCUCAGCGGAUGUUUUAGAUAACUUGUGCGUCCUUGCUUAAACUGAUUGUGUUGUCUCAUUUUGGUAUUUCUUAUAUUUGCUGGCAUGUCCGCCACAACCACCGCCAACCCCGUUCGCCACCACCAUGUCCUCAGCUGACCGCGGGUGGGAAGGGACGCGGCAUGCCCGCCACCACCGCGGGUCCUUCGCCGAUCGCAUUAUGCUCGCCGCCCCACCCGUCCUCUGCGCCACCUCUCCGUCGUCUUCCGUUCGGGGGUGGCCGGGGUGGUCGCGGGUGAAGGGGCGGGGCUGGGGCUGGGGAUCCCCGUCGUCUUGGUCUUGCGCCAACUCGCGGAUCGGCGCCUUGGCAGCUUUGGAUGUGGUCGCCGCAGUACCUUCGCGCCUCGGCAGAAACUGCUCGUUGUGGCCCUCUCGAUGGAUGUUGCUCACCUGGGCAGACACAGAAUGCCCGCGUGGUCACAUGUUCGACAAGCCGUGAUGUUUGAGUGAGCUUAUUCAGCCUGGCAUGAACACCACGACCAGACACAUAGUCAAGUACCUCGCCGGCAAGGCCAAGGUGUAUGAGAAUAAGUCACAAUGACGCUUCAGAGGCGUGCGUCCUGGUGUUCGAGCCACCUCAAGCAGGGGACCUGGAACAACGGUACAUUUGUGCUGAGAGGACAAGGCACCAAGAGGUUAAUCCUAUUUCCAAUAUGUUAUUCAGAGGUCAAGGAUCCGGAGAUAUCCAGAGCAAAACCUUCAAGUACAGGCUGGGCAGAUUCUGAUCUAUUUUAUAUACCCAUCAACAGCUGGAGUCUCCGAAGCGGAAGAGCUUGCCUGUUACAAGGGUUUCCUGGUACUGUUAUUCAGUUAAACAAUAUGGUAACAAGUGGAAAUAUGUGUGAUGCUUUGUUGCUGGUUGGCUUAUAGAAUUUGAAUUUUAUAGCAAGAAGACUUAUCAAGUCAACCACUUCUACAAAAUGGAGGCAUAGUAGGCGGUGGGCUAUUUUGUUUCAAAGAGCUAUUCUAUGACGUGAUGUUCAGAGUGAGGGACAUGUGAAGUUUAAAGAGAUGAGUUCACCAUUCUUUUCAGCAAAAGGUUCAAUUCAUCCUAAGUUCACUGCUUCGUUCCUGCUUCCUGGCAACUCAUGGUCCCUUUUUCAUUCUAUAUGUCAGAUGUUUUCAAUGGUUGUGACUAUUGUUCACUCUUUAAGAUAGAAAGUGUUAUGCGGUGUGAAGAAUCUCCAUGAAUUCAUGUCGUUGUGUGCACAGUGGAUCCAAGCACAGUUAUCCUGUGGGUGUUUUAUCUUCAUAUUUACUAUCAAAAGGAUGAAGGACUUGGAACAUUUUAAGUGAACUGCAGGAGGGUGGGCGGAGGGUGCGCUCAGCGGUGCUCUGGUAAAUCCUGCUCGACGAGGAAGAGGGUUUGGCGUCGGGGACGGGAACCUGGCUGCGGCGUCGGAUGCAUGGCGCAGCUGGCGCAACUUCCUCUGGCCGCGCGGCGAGGCAGGGCCCAAACUCCAUGACAACUUUCUUCCUCGGCGGCAGAUGAACCAUGUUGUUCAUGAUGUGGAGAUGAACCCUGUCGUGUAUUUUAUCUAAUGGUUUCAAAUCAUGUUGUUCAUGAUGUGGAGAUGAACCUUGUUGGUCAUGUAAGUUAGAUGCCUGGAUUGUGAAUCCUUGAAUGUUUCAAAAUGUUGGUUUCAAACCUAGAUUUCUUGGAAAUAUUGGUUUUAAACA